AGAGUUUGAUCCUGGCUCAGAUUGAACGCUGGCGGCGUGCUUAACACAUGCAAGUCGAACGAGAAAGGGGCUUCGGCCCUGAGUAGAGUGGCGCACGGGUGAGUAACGCGUAGGUAAUCUACCCUUAUAAUCGGGAUAACAUCGCGAAAGCGGUGCUAAUACCGGAUGAGUUUGUAUGGACGCGAGUCUGUAUGAGGAAAGGUGACCUCUCCAUGGAAGUUACCGUAUGAGGAUGAGCCUGCGUACCAUUAGCUAGUUGGCAGGGUAAAGGCCUACCAAGGCGACGAUGGUUAGCGGGUCUGAGAGGAUGACCCGCCACACUGGAACUGGAACACGGACCAGACUCCUACGGGAGGCAGCAGUGAGGAAUAUUGCGCAAUGGGGGCAACCCUGACGCAGCGACGCCGCGUGAGUGAUGAAGGUCUUCGGGUCGUAAAGCCCUGUCAGGUGGGAAGAAACCUGCGAAUAGCAGCUGACGGUACCACCAAAGGAAGCACCGGCUAACUCCGUGCCAGCAGCCGCGGUAAUACGGAGGGUGCAAGCGUUGUUCGGAAUCAUUGGGCGUAAAGCGCGUGUAGGCGGUCUGAUUAGUCUGAUGUGAAAGCCCUGGGCUCAACCCAGGAAGUGCAUUGGAUACUGUCAGACUUGAAUACGGGAGAGGGUAGUGGAAUUCCUAGUGUAGGAGUGAAAUCCGUAGAUAUUAGGGGGAACACCGGUGGCGAAGGCGGCUACCUGGACCGAUAUUGACGCUGAGACGCGAAAGCGUGGGUAGCAAACAGGAUUAGAUACCCUGGUAGUCC
rnacentral:rRNA from 1 species